UUGACCUCAAAUCAGGUAGGACUACCCGCUGAACUUAAGCAUAUCAAUAAGCGGAGGAAAAGAAACUAACAAGGAUUCCCCUAGUAACUGCGAGUGAAGCGGGAAAAGCUCAAAUUUGAAAUCUGGCAGCUCUUUGAACUGUCUGAGUUGUAAUCUAGAGAAGUGUUACCUGUGUUGGACCGUGUACAAGUCUCCUGGAAUGGAGCGUCACAGAGGGUGAGAAUCCCGUCUUUGACACGGACUGCCUGCACGUUAUGGUGCGCUCUCAAAGAGUCGAGUUGUUUGGGAAUGCAGCUCAAAAUGGGUGGUAAAUGCCAUCUAAAGCUAAAUAUUGGCGAGAGACCGAUAGCGAACAAGUACCGUGAGGGAAAGAUGAAAAGAACUUUGGAAAGAGAGUUAAACAGUACGUGAAAUUGCUGAAAGGGAAACGCUUGAAGUCAGUCGCGUCGGCUAGAAAUCAACCUUGCUUUUGCUUGGUGUACUUUCUUGUUGACGGGUCAGCAUCAAUUUUGACCGUCGGAUAAAGUCAUUGGGAAUGUGGCAUCUUAGGAUGUGUUAUAGCCCAUUGUCGCAUACGACGGUUGGGAUUGAGGAACUCAGCACGCCCGCAAGGGACGGGUUUUUUGACCACGUUCGUGCUUAGGAUGCUGGCAUAAUGG
rnacentral:rRNA from 1 species